GGCUCUGUGGCGCAAUGGACAGCGCACUGGACUUCUAAUUCAAAGGUUGUGGGUUCGAGUCCCACCAGAGUCG
rnacentral:tRNA from 1 species